AUGGAACUAAGCAGGAAGAGGCAUUGUUUGAGACAAGCAAAUCUCGUGUUUGAUAUUUCCACUCCUUGCUCCAUUCUUCAACUUACUAAUCUUCUCUUUGUGACCCAUGAAUCUCCCUCUCUUACCAGGUCCAACCCUGGUUGCAGGGACAGACCUGCAGGUGCUACAGACAGCCUGCAACAUCGUUACGAGACCUCUCCCUGCCUGGAUGAUGCGAAGCCUGAACCUGCGGGGUCAGGGCCUGGUGCUGGUGCUCACGGUGCUGCUGCUAGCGGAGGGUCUAGCUUGCAGUCUAAUGUCCCCUCUCCUCCCACUGAGAGAGCCCCUGCACACCUUGAGGACACUGAAUAUUCAUAUAAAAGGUCGGUCCUGAGCUAUGAGGAGGGAAGCAGCACGCAAGAGGGCAAAUACACGAGUCCCACGGUCCCAGCGUACAGCAAGCCUGACUGGAAUGAAAUGACGUAAGGAUCUGGGGUGCUAACCUCAUGUUUGCUAAUGUGUUCUUUCUCAUUGCUGAAAACUCGGAGGUCCUGAUUCUGCAGGAAAUAUCAAGCCCAAGAACAACAGCGNNNNNNNNNNNNNNNNNNNNUUUUUACAGCUCUUGUCCCAAGAGUAAAGCAGACUGUGCUGAGGUUUAUAGUACAACAUACAACAUAAAACAAGGGGUUUGGGUUGUAUCCCUCCUCCAUCAUCUUUGGUAUGAACCAAACACUCCAGCUUUUUCCUGCUUUUGGUGCACGUGUGCUUGGUGGGGUUUAGUCACUACCUUCUCAUUUGCUGAGGAUGGAGAAAUACUAAGUGAUGCUGAAGUGGCAGCAAGGGAGCUGAAGGGUCAGCUGAAGUAGGAGCAUGUUGAAAUGCAGCUGUAGCUUAAGUAUGGUCCCUGGGGAGAGACCCUGGUGCAGGACACUGAAUGGUACAGCUUGGAAGGAGCAGCUUGGCAGGAGCCUUGCCUUGCGAGUAGAUAGUACUCACUAGUGCAAUGAUUUGCGUGCCAGUUGUUAAAGAAAUAAUGGGCCUUUCUUUGCUUACCAGGUCGGUCCUGAGCUAUGAGGAGGGAAGCAGCACGCAAGAGGGCAAAUACACGAGUCCCACGGUCCCAGCAUACAGCAAGCCUGACUGGAAUGAAGUGACGUAAGGAUCUGGGGUGCUAACCUCAUGUUUGCUAAUGUGUUCUUUCUCAUUGUUGAAAACUUGGAGG
rnacentral:lncRNA from 1 species